rnacentral:tRNA from 1 species
GCCCCUGUAGUAUAAAUUAAUACACUGGCCUUGUAAACCAAAAAUGGAGCAUCCCUCCCUAGGGCA